GUAUAAUUUUAUAGGCACAAAGGCCCGUUUAUUACAUUCUAUAAACAUACAUAGGGGUAUAUGAAAAACAUAGACCUGAAAAUGCAAGGAAAGAAGGAAAAAAUCAAUCCUCAAAUCUGAAUUUGUCAGGCAUUCAGAGAGAUAUCCAGGUCUACAAAAGGUUCACAGGUGGAGAUAUAAAGAUGACAAGUGUGCACAUGCUCCCUGGAGAACCAGCAGCAACUCAUCAGGUUUAUUUCAAUAAUGAUCCUUCCGCAGGUUCACCUACGGAAA
rnacentral:misc_RNA from 1 species